rnacentral:tRNA from 1 species
GGAGAGGUGACCGAGUGGUCGAAGGUGCACGACUGGAAAUCGUGUGUACCGUAAGGUACCGGGGGUUCGAAUCCCUUCCUCUCCG